AUGUGUAGGACACACAGUGAACAUUCCAGAAUGUGUGUCCCGAGGCGGGCCAGGGCGUUCUGCUGGCCCCGUGCCUGGCUUGGUGCUGGCAGCAUUUGCUGCCCAGGAAGGACGUGGACAGGUGGAAGACGGUACCCGCGGCCACCAUACAGGGUCAGGGGUUACGGAGGAGGAGCCCACCACCCAGGGUCAGGGGUUACGGAGGAGGAGGCCACCGCCCAGGGUCAGGGGUUACGGAGGAGGAGGCCACCGCCCAGGGUCAGGGGUUACGGAGGAGGAGGCCACCGCCCAGGGUCAGGGGUUAUGGAACAGGAGGCCACCGCCCAGGGUCAGGGGUUACGGAGGAGGAGCCCACCGCCCAGGGUCAGGGGUUACGGAGGAGGAGCCCACCGCCCAGGGUCAGAGGCCACCGCCCAGGGUCAGGGGUUACGGAGGAGGAGGCCACCGCCCAGGGUCAGGGGUUACGGAGGAGGAGCCCACCACCCAGGGUCAGGGGUUACGGAGGAGGAGGCCACCGCCCAGGGUCAGAAGAGGUGGCAACCGCCCAGGGUCAGGGGUUACGGAGGAGGAGGCCACCGCCCAGGGUCAGGGGUUACGGAGGAGGAGCCCACCGCCCAGGGUCAGGGGUUACGGAGGAGGAGGCCACCGCCCAGGGUCAAGAGGCAACCACCCAGGGUCAGGGGUUACGGAGGAGGAGGCCACCAAGAGGUGGCCACCGCCCAGGGUCAGGGGUUACGGAGGAGGAGGCCACCGCCCAGGGUCAGGGGUUACGGAGGAGGAGCCCACCGCCCAGGGUCAGGGGUUACGGAGGAGGCCACCGCCCAGGGUCAGGGGUUACAGAGGAGGAGCCCACCACCCAGGGUCAGGGGUUACGGAGGAGGAGCCCACCGCCCAGGGUCAGGGGUUACGGAGGAGGAGCCCACCGCCCAGGGUCAGGGGUUACGGAGGAGGCCACCGCCCAGGGUCAGGGGUUACAGAGGAGGCCCAGGGUCAGGGUUAUGGAGGAGCUCAGGGGAGCGCCCAGGGUCAGGGGUUACGGAGAAGGAGGCCACCGCCCAGGGUCAGAAGAGGUGGCCACAGCCCAGGGUCAGGGGUUACGGAGGAGGCAGCCACCGCCCAGGGUCAGGGGUUACGGAGGAGGGUCAGGGUUACAGCCACCAGGGUCAGGGGUUAGGAGGAGGAGGCCACCGCCCAGGGUCAGAAGAGGCAGCCACCCAGGGUCAGGGGUUACGGAGGAGGAGGCCACCGCCCAGGGUCAGGGGUUACGGAGGAGGAGGCCACCGCCCAGGGUCAGGGGUUACGGAGGAGGCGCCCACUGCCCAGGGUCAGGGGUUACGGAGGAGGAGCCCACCGCCCAGGGUCAGGGGUUACGGAGGAGGAGGCCACCGCCCAGGGUCAGGGGUUACGGAGGAGGAGCCCACCGCCCAGGGUCAGGGGUUACGGAGGAGGUGGCCACUGCCCAGGGUCAGGGGUUACGGAGGAGGUGGCCACCGCCCAGGGUCAGGGGUUACGGAGGAGGAGCCCACCGCCCAGGGUCAGGGGUUACGGAGGAGGUGGCCACCGCCCAGGGUCAGGGAUUACAGAGGAGGAGGCCACCGCCCAGGGUCAGGGGUUAUGGAAAAGGAGGCCACUGCUACCCCAGCUCUCUAA
ensembl:lncRNA